rnacentral:rRNA from 1 species
CGAGUAAAGUGGCGAAAGGGUGAGUAACACGUGAGGAACCUGCCCCCUGGUUCGGAACAAGCCUGUGAAAACGGGUCUGAAACCGGAUGAGGCCCCUCCCGCAUGGGGAGUCGGCCAAAUAUUCAUAGCCAAGGGAUGGCCUCGCGGCCAUUAGCUUGUUGCGGGUGACGGCCACCAAGGCUACGACGGGUAGGUGGUCUGAGAGGAUGGUCACCCACACUGGGACUGAGACACUGCCCAGACUCCUACGGGAGGCUGCAGUCGAGAAUCUUCCGCAAUGGGCGCAAGCCCUGACGGAGCGAUGCCGCGUGAGGGACGAAGGCCUUCGGGUCGUAAACCUCUGUCGAGGGGAACGAACGCAAUGACGGUACCCCUCAAGGAAGCCACGGCUAACCACGUGCCAGCAGCCGC